UGGGCUGUGAUGGGAGUGGGGCCGGAACUCUCAUGUCAUUAGGACCCGCCCCCUCAGCACGGACUUGGAUUCCUAUUACUAUUCUGCCCACUUCACUAGUAAGUGGGCAGAAUGCGGGAGAGAUGCUUACUUCUCCGGGGGUGUGGAGGGCCCAAAAAAUCUUGUGUCCCCCAGCAGAAUCUGGGAGAGUAGGCAAUUAUGAAUUAAACUAAUCACAUGAUAAGUAGACAAAGCAACAACCUGACUGCCGGACUGGUGCUCCCUUAUUCACAGUGCUGGGCACAUCUCCAAUAUAUGGCCAUAAGGAAACAGGUGAUACUGAGGAGCUAGGCUGGGAGCAUUGAUGUUUGUGAUGGCGUCCAGUGAUAUGUAGAUUCCUUUUCAACUAACUUUUCAGCAGGGGGAGCAGCCUGCCUUGCAAUGCCACUGAUUCAAAUAUAAAUAUGUCAUCAUAAACAGUA